rnacentral:rRNA from 1 species
CCGCCGGCGACCGGCGCACGGGUGAGUAACACGUAUGCAACCUGGCCGUGACAGAUGGAUAACCGGGAGAAAUCCCGCCUAAUACAACAUAAUGCCGGGAGGGGACAUCCCCUGCCGGCCAAAGGGGGCGACCCGGUCACGGAUGGGCAUGCGGCGCAUUAGGUAGUUGGUGGGGCAACGGCCCACCAAGCCGACGAUGCGUAGGGGUUCUGAGAGGAAGGUCCCCCACAUUGGAACUGAGACACGGUCCAAACUCCUACGGAAGGCAGCAG